UAGGACUUAGUGAUCCGGUGGUUCUGUAUGGAAGGGCCAUCGCUCAACGGAUAAAAGGUACUCCGGGGAUAACAGGCUGAUACCGCCCAAGAGUUCAUAUCGACGGCGGUGUUUGGCACCUCGAUGUCGGCUCAUCACAUCCUGGGGCUGAAGCCGGUCCCAAGGGUAUGGCUGUUCGCCAUUUAAAGUGGUACGCGAGCUGGGUUUAGAACGUCGUGAGACAGUUCGGUCCCUAUCUGCCGUGGGCGUUGGAGAUUUGAGAAGAGUUGUUCCUAGUACGAGAGGACCGGAAUGAACGGACCGCUGGUGUUCGGGUUGUGUCGCCAGACGCAUUGCCCGGUAGCUAUGUCCGGACGGGAUAACCGCUGAAAGCAUCUAAGCGGGAAGCCCCCCCCAAGACUAGAUCUCCCUGAGGACUUGAUCCUCCUGAAGGGCCCAAGAAGACUACUUGGUUGAUAGGCUGGGUGUGUAAGCGCAGUAAUGUGCUCAGCUAACCAGUACUAAUUGCCCGUGAGGCUUGACCAU
rnacentral:rRNA from 1 species